rnacentral:rRNA from 1 species
GACAGAGGUGCCGAGCGUUAGGCGGAAUCACUGGGCUUAAAGCGUGUGUAGGCGGACUCGUAAGUGCUUUGUGAAAUCCCACGGCUCACCCGUGGAACUGCUUGGCAUACUGCGAGCCUUGAGCCACUUAGGGGCAACCGGAACAAACGGUGGAGCGGUGAAAUGCGUAGAUAUCGGGAGGAACACCUGUGGCGAAAGCGGCUCACUGGACCACAACUGACGCUGAUGCGCGAAAGCUAGGGGAGCAAACAGG